rnacentral:rRNA from 1 species
GAGAGUUAAACAGUACGUGAAAUUGUUGAAAGGGAAACGAUUGAAGUCAGUCAUACCAACGGGAAAUCAACCUUUUGAGUUUGGUCUCGUGGGUUUUGAAGAGUUUUUAAAAGCCUUCGGAUUUUCGAGAUUGGGUUCUUCUGGUGUACUUUCUCGUACGGUUAGUCAACAUCGGUUUUGAAUGUCAUAAAAUGACUGGAGGAAUGUGGCUUCGAUCUCGUAUUGAAGUGUUAUAACCUUUGGUAGAUGUGAUGUUUGAGACCGAGGAUUGCAACGGAUACCCUUCUGGGCUAUUCGUCUGAUCUCUGAAACGUUGCCUUGAUGUCGAAAGCUUGCUUAUGAUGUUAGGGUAUUACGGUCAAAAGGUUAGAACGGAUUAAAUUCGUUAAGGAUGUUGACGUAAUGACUUUAAACGA